rnacentral:rRNA from 1 species
UGAGGAAUAUUGGUCAAUGGGCGAGAGCCUGAACCAGCCAAGUAGCGUGCAGGAUGACGGCCCUAUGGGUUGUAAACUGCUUUUAUAUGGGAAUAAAGUGAGGGACGUGUCCCUUAUUGCAUGUACCAUAUGAAUAAGGACAGGCUAAUUCCGUGCCAGCAGCCGCGGUAAUACGGAAGGUCCAGGCGUUAUCCGGAUUUAUUGGGUUUAAAGGGAGCGUAGGCUGUUUGUUAAGCGUGUUGUGAAAUGUAAGAGCUCAACUUUUAGAUUGCAGCGCGAACUGGCAGACUUGAGUGCGCACAACGUAGGCGGAAUUCAUGGUGUAGCGGUGAAAUGCUUAGAUAUCAUGACGAACUCCGAUUGCGAAGGCAGCUUACGGGAGCGCAACUGACGCUAAAGCUCGAAGGUGCGGGUAUCGAACAGG